GACGAACGCUGGCGGCAUGCCUUACACAUGCAAGUCGAACGGACCUAGCAAUAGGUUAGUGGCGAACGGGUGAGUAAUACAUGAGCAACCUGCCUCAAACAGGGGGAUAACACCGGGAAACUGGUGCUAAUACCGCAUAAGACCACAGCGCGGCAUCGCGCAGGGGUAAAACGAUUCAGUGGUUUGAGAUGGGCUCAUGUCCCAUUAGCUAGUUGGUGAGAUAACAGCCCACCAAGGCGACGAUGGGUAGCCGACCUGAGAGGGUGAUCGGCCACAUUGGGACUGAGACACGGCCCAGACUCCUACGGGAGGCAGCAGUGGGGAAUAUUGGGCAAUGGGCGAAAGCCUUACCCAGCAAUGCCGCGUGAGUGAAGAAGGUCUUCGGAUUGUAAAGCUCUUUGAUCAGGGACGAACACAAUGACGGUACCUGAAG
rnacentral:rRNA from 1 species